ensembl:lncRNA
CUGAGUCACUCCCGCCACUUCCAUGGCUAUUUUUAUAGUCACAGAAAUCUGACAGAUCUUCAGAUAGCCUGACAUUCACAACCAUUUUUAUUUCUCCUAUUUGUUUCUCCAGCUUCGAGGAUCACCAUUCUCUGAAUCCUGGCUUGCAAAACAAAUCUGUGUUAAGAUUGCACUUCUUUUCUUGGUCUUCCAGGGAGGCAGCUGCCUGAGAAGAUGAACCACGGUGUGAUGAACCAAAUUCUGGCUCCCAGAUUGUUCAUCCUGCUUUAAAAAGGCAGCGCUUUCAAACAGUUGACCCAGCCUGAUGCAAACCUCAGAGAAAGGAUAGAUGAAGGAAGAGAAGAGGUACUCAUCUACGCCCUCAGUUCUUCAAGGGUUUGAAAAAAUUAACCCUGGAGAGCUGCAGGUUUCUACAUGUCGGAACUGGCGAAGUAUUGCUGUGACUCUUGCUAUCAGAAAUUCCUACAUUAGAGGUUUGAUGGCUUUGAAUUUUGUGCACCUCUCUAACCAAAAAUCAGAAGCACCUGUUCAUCUUUCGGGCUGCAGAUAAGAUGCACACGACUAGCCCAGUGUUCCUGCUGGCAGCACA